GGUNUUGAGUAGGUCAAGGUUGAAACGUGGAGGGAGAUUGUAAAUGUAGAAUGAUGGAGUUGAUCCAUCGCAUGUGGUGGUGGUGGUGGUGGUGGUGUUGGUGGUGUUAGUUGUUGUGGUUAUGGUUGUGGGGUACAUGAAGUAAAGAAGGAAGAGGCAUAAAGUAAUAAAGAGAGUGAACUUUACCCAUUGGUGAAUUAUGAUGUUGUGAGUUUCUUUGGAUUUUGAGAAGCUUUGGGAUUUUGUUGUGCAUGGUAGAGAAUUUAAAGGUUGAGUUGGUGAUGGCUUUCUGAAAAACAUUGAGAAGAAAAAAAAGAGAAGGAGGGAGAGAGAUGUAGGAGAUGAAUGAUUGCAUGUACGACUUUGAAGAGGUCUUUAGUUGGAUAUUAUAUAUACAUGAUAUUUCUAAUUUUUUUUGAUAAACUUAAAACAAACACUCUCAAACAACAUAUAAUUUAGAAUAGAUAGGUUAGUACUUACACCCUCUGGUCACUAUUAAAGCAAAAAUUAAUAUUUUAGAUUUAUUUAAUUAAUGAUGUAUACAAGAUUAUAUACAUCAUUAAUUGAAUGAAUCUAAAAUAUUAAUUUUUACUUAUAAUAGUGACCAAGUAUGUAGUUGAAUAAAUUAGUACGUAUACAAACUGUUAUUUUCAAGAGUGCCUAUAAGUGAUGUAUUUUAAAUGAACUUUUAAUGUCACAGACUGAUGUACUGAAUUUUAUAAUUUUAGAAUAAAUUUUUCAUUAAGCCACUGGUUGUGGGUCCAAGCAUUCAAUUUUAACAUGGUGGGAAGGACAAAAAAUCAAAAGAAAAGUCAUGACACGAACAACCAAACCAAAAUAGUCAGAUACACCUUCCGGUCACUAAUAUAAACAAAAGUUUGAUUUUUAGAUUCAUUUAUUAAAUGACGUACGUAGUCAACGUACGUCAUUUAAUAAAUGAAUCUAAAAAUCAAACUUUUGCUUAUAUUAGUGAUCGGAGGGUGUAUAUAAAAUUGAAGGAAUCAACCAAAAUUUUAUAAUUCUGAGCUGUAUUCAUUCUCAUUCACAUCUUGAUGAACCCACGUUUUGCCAAAUAUGGANUUUUUUUUUUGUGGUUAUUUUAAGAGACAUUCCAUGUAUGACAAUUGUUGUAAUAAUUAAGAUAGAAUAUAAAAUAAGAUGACAAUGAUUUUUGGUUAUUGAAAACUACAUGUUGAUGAAAUGAAUAGCAAAUAAGUGUGUGAGAAUUUGUCUGACAAGGUCUGCAAGUCAAGGAGUACUGUAACCCCAACGCACAUAGUUUGGCAAUUAUUUUCAGUAUUGUCACGUAUAAUACAGCUAUUUGCCUUGCAUUUGUUGUUUGGAAUUUGGAUUUACUUGAGUGAACAUGUGAAGAUUUGGACCCAUUUAAAUUGAAAUAUCUAAAUACCAUGGAAAAUAAAAUAACAUAUGUACUUCUUGUCGCACAUAUUUGCAUCUCACAAUUUAUUUUUUACUUUUUUUAUAUUAACCAACCAAGAUAGACAUUUUUUAUCAUUGAAGAAAGUUUAGACGUGUUAUGUCGUAAAAGCUUAUAUGGUUAGGGAAUGUCUUCGGUUUUGGAGGGACAAAAAUAAUGAGGAAAAUUAAGAAAUCUUUCACAUUUUUUAAAAGAGUAUUUUUUAGAGAGUGAUAAAUUAAUGCUUAUAUCAACAAUUAUCAAUAAACAAAAUGUUUAAUGCGGGAUCUUAUCAUGUUAAAAAAUACGCUACUAUGUGAAAUCAAAAGUGCACACUAGGUGCGCAAUGGAAGAAGUAAUGCAGUCGAGUGGAUUGUCCUAAAGUUCAUAUAAGUUAGCGAUAUCAAAUUUGUCUUUGAAAACACAAACAAAAUGCAAAAAAAAAAUGUAUGAUUUGAAUGUCAAAACUUUGUAGAUAUGUGAAGUUGGAAAUGUCAAGGGUAUAUAAAUGUACUAAAAAGUGUAAAGUGCAAAAAAUAAAAUGAAUUAAAGAAAAUUGAUCAAAACUUAAAGUGCAAGAAAUGUAAAAAAUUAAAGUGCAAAAAUGUGCAUGAAAGUAAAGUGCAGGAAAUUUAAUUGUGCACCAAAGUAAAUUGUUGAAAGAUAAAUUGCAAGAAAUUGAAAAGUGCGGGAAAAUAAAUUAGUCCCUUACUUUAUUUCGUACUUUUAUUUGGCUCCUAUAACUAAUAUUUUUCAUGUUUAAGUCCCUUAACUUUAUUUUCAUCAGUCAAAUUUGUCAAUUCCAUUAGUUUUUGUUAAAAAGUAGGGGUUGAAUUUGUGAAGUAUACAAUUGUUUACGAUCCACUCACAACAUCUGAUAAUUUUUUAUUUUCUACGUUUUUUUUUUAAUUUCCUAAAAGACGAAAUCUUCAUCAUUUCAUCUCCCAAAUUGGAAAUUACCAUAAUCGUAAAAACCCAGCAACAGAAAAUCUGGUCAAAGUGCAAACUCGAUUCACUUUUAGACAUGAAUGUUUGACCUUGUUCGUUAUCUCUAUGUGAAUAUGAAAUUUAAAAAGAAAGAAAAAAACGAGAAGAGUGUUAAUCACCAAAUACAAAAUUGUUUAGAAAAAUUAGAUUUUAGAUUGAAAUUACACAUUUUUUUUUUACAAAUUAACUUUAACAACUAGCCCACCGAAAUUGACAUCGGAGAGAAUCGAAACUGAGGCUUUGAGAUGAGUGCACUUCAAGGUCCAAAGCCGCCGCCACCAGGCUAACCCAAAUGUGUUCUAUUACACUAUAGUUAGUAAGAGUGUUUGAGAAGUUUGGUUAGUGUUAGUUAGAGUUAGUUAAUCCAACUAAUAUCUAUAUAUAGAACACUCAUUAUACCAUUUUCAUAUUUUAUAAUAAAUCUAUAUUCAUUCUACAUGAAUCUCUAUAACUAUCUUCCAAAUAAAUAUUCUUAUGCAUGCUUUUCUAGCUAUUUAAUAUAUUUACAAUUCUUGGAGAAGACGUUUGGUAAAGUGCUUUUUGAAGAAAAAAAUUUGGUUCAAUUUUGAAAGCGUUUUGAUUCCAUUAUGAUAUGCGUUCGAAUUGGUUUAUGUCUUAACUUGUUUGGAGAAUCACACAAUUUGGUUUGGAGAUUUAUUUUCCGUUCUUGGAUUCACUCGUGUUUCAAUAGUUUGAAAAAUCACAUAAUCACAAAAUUACAUUUCAUAAAAGUGUUUUCAAAUAGUUGUUUUGGCGAAACCCGUUUUGAAUAAGUUAUUUUACAAAAGCAAUUGUGAAGAGGCUCGUUGAAGAAGUUAGGGAUGAGGAUGAAGAAGUAGAAGAAAGUGAUUUAAAAUUCUCAAAAUCCUUGGAUUUCUCAUUGAUGGGCUUGAUAUUAGUUGGGCUUUUAUUGCAGAAUUGUUAUACUUAGUUUACGCCGCCCCCCCACCCCCCGUCUCCAUGUUUUUUGUUCGCAUAGUUACACUACUAUAGUUAGUUAGUUAGUUAGAGUGUUGUUUGGUUUACAUUUGAGUUGUUUUGUUUGUUAAUUCAUUUGAAUUGUAUUUCAAACUCAAAUUGAUAAAUUUCCCAUUUUCAGUAUGAGGGACUAUUAUACUAUAGUUAGUUAAAGUGUUUGAGAAGCUUAGUUAUAGUUAAUUGCUCAUAUUAAUCUCUGUAUAUAGGAACACUCACUAUAUCAUUUCCAUAUUCUUUUAUCAAUAUUCAUCCUACAUGAAUCUCUAUUAGUAUUUCCCACUUGAAUAUUCCUAUACUUGCUUUCUUACUGAUCAUUAUGAUCUUCUUCCCUAUAAUACCAUGAUUCAUAAUAGUUUCAAUAAGUUCAAUAUCAUUCUUUAUUGAUAUUAAGUCAAUAAAAAUUUUCGGACUAUUUUUAUGUCUUCCGCAAUCCUUUUCUUAUUUUUUUAUUUCUUUGCAUAAUCCUAACAAAAGUGAAUUUUAGUUUGUGAAUUUGGAUGAAUUUUGUUUAGAAGUGGCACAAUGGAUAGAUUUAGGCUUAGAUUGUAAUGGAUUGAUCAAGACAAUCCAUUAAUUCGCAAACAAUCUAUUAAUAAUUUAAAAAAAAUUCAAUAAAUCCAUCCAUUAAACAUAAAAUCGGCCCAAUCCAUCCAUUAUCAUGUUUUCAAUGGAUGGAUAUAUCCACCCAAUCCAUCAAUUAAAAAAUAUAAUUUCUUUUAAAAAUUAAUUUUAUUUUUACAUAUUUUUUAAAGCAUUUUUCUUUAUAAAAAGAUUUUAAACAUAAAAUAUUACUUUUUUUUCUUGUAAGAAAACAUAAUUUCUUUUUAAGUUGAAAAAAUUGAUUGCAUGGCCCAACCCAUAAAGAGUUUUUUUUUUUUUGAAUUAGGUCCAAAAUAUAAUUUAUAACAAUGAAAUUCAAUAGAUAAAUUAAAAAAACUAGCGGUGGAUGGAGGUUAACGCAUUAGUCGAUGUCGGAGCUCUGAUGACCCUAAGGCGGAUGAUGGCAGCGCUCCGUCGGACAGCCACCAACAACCACCACUAUUACUAUUUUGUUCAUUAAUAAUAAAAUAAAAAAAAUAAAUAUAGUAUUUUAAUUUAUUAUCUUAAAAAGUAAACACUUAUUUAUAAAAUAAUAAAAAAAAUAAGUGUUUUCUUCAAAAUCAAUUGUUUUUUGAAAUAUAGAAUCAAUUAUAUAAAUAAUUAAUGUUUAAAUAAUAUAUAAAAUUGUUUUCUUAAAAAAAUAUAAAAAUAGGACCAUUGUGUAAAAGAAAUAGCUAUUUAAUUAAUAAAACGUUGUACAUUAUAGUGAAUAAAUUGGAUGAAUGGUGGAUUGGUGUCAAAUUGUCACCCCUAAUAUUUGUGUUGAUGGAUUAUUUUGAUUCUAGGUAUGAGGUUGGUAGAUGAUGAGACAAGAAGAUGAAAAUUGUUAGUAUCUUGGUUCUGAGUGCAUUGUAAACUCUUGCGUUCUCAAAUUCAAUCCAUAAUCAUCAAUCCUACAUUUUUUUUUUUUUUNUUGAGUAGGUCAAGGUUGAAACGUGGAGGGAGAUUGUAAAUGUAGAAUGAUGGAGUUGAUCCAUCGCAUGUGGUGGUGGUGGUGGUGUCGGUGGUGGUAGUUGUGGUGGUUAUUGUUGUGGGGUACAUGAAGUAAAGAAGGAAGAGGCAUAAAGUAAUAAAGAGAGUGAAUUUUACCCAUUGGUGAGUUUCUUUGGUUUUUGAGAAGCUUUGGGAUUUUGUUGUGCAUGGUAGAGAAUUUAGAGGUUGAGUUGGUGAUGACUUUCUGAAAAACAUUGAGAAGGAAAAAAAGAGAAGGAGGGAGAGAGAUGUAGGAGAUGAAUGAUUGCAUGCACGAUUUUGAAGAGGUCUUUAUUUGGAUAUUAUAUAUACAUGA
rnacentral:lncRNA from 1 species